AGAGUUUGAUCAUGGCUCAGGAUGAACGCUGGCGGCGUGCCUAACACAUGCAAGUCGAGCGAUCUUCUUCGGAAGAGAGCGGCGGACGGGUGAGUAACGCGUGGGUAACCUACCUCAUACACAUGGAUAACAUACCGAAAGGUAUGCUAAUACAAGAUGAUAUAAGAGAUUCGCAUGGAUUUCUUAUCAAAGCUCCGGCGGUAUGAGAUGGACCCGCGUCUGAUUAGCUAGUUGGUAAGGUAACGGCUUACCAAGGCGACGAUCAGUAGCCGACCUGAGAGGGUGAUCGGCCACAUUGGAACUGAGACACGGUCCAAACUCCUACGGGAGGCAGCAGUGGGGAAUAUUGCACAAUGGGCGAAAGCCUGAUGCAGCAACGCCGCGUGAGCGAUGAAGGCCUUCGGGUCGUAAAGCUCUGUCCUCAAGGAAGAUAAUGACGGUACUUGAGGAGGAAGCCCCGGCUAACUACGUGCCAGCAGCCGCGGUAAUACGUAGGGGGCUAGCGUUAUCCGGAUUUACUGGGCGUAAAGGGUGCGUAGGUGGUUUCUUAAGUCAGGAGUGAAAGGCUACGGCUCAACUGUAGUAAGCUCUUGAAACUGGGAAACUUGAGUGCAGGAGAGGAAAGUGGAGUUCCUAGUGUAGCGGUGAAAUGCGUAGAUAUUAGGAGGAACACCAGUAGCGAAGGCGGCUUUCUGGACUGUAACUGACACUGAGGCACGAAAGCGUGGGGAGCAAACAGGAUUAGAUACCCUGGUAGUCCACGCCGUAAACGAUGAGUACUAGGUGUCGGGGGUUACCCCCCUCGGUGCCGCAGC
rnacentral:rRNA from 1 species